CCCAGAGGGAGGCGAGAGAAGGCACAGUGUCUGAGCCUCUGGCUCCUUUCCCCUUUGGUGAACUGGCUUCACCCCUGAGAUGCUGCUCCAGGGCUUCUUGUGCCCCGACUCUCCUAUUCCGUGUCUUCAGCUACUUCUUGGACAUGCCGCAUGACUCUGCUGAGCCCCCAGGCUCUUCUGUAGACUUGAGGGAGUCCCCCUCAGUGCAGCCAGUGUGAGUUGCCCCCCCUAAUCUCUCGAGGGAACCAGAGACCUUUCUUUAAACAGCGUGAGCACAGAUGUCAAGGACCUCAGGCACUGAGGACAAAUCUCCUGGAGAACCACAAUCAGCCGCUUCAGCACACAGCACAGCAGGAUCACACCCCGCGCUCCCGCGGGAAAGCAGUGAGGACAGCAGGUUCGUCCUGAAGUAAGAAAGGGAAGGUUGAGAGCCUGGGGGCCAGGAUGGUGUGAGGUUCAGUGAGAGUUGUAGCUUAUGGAAAUGUUGACCAUUUCAAACUGGAAAGAAGAAAAGGACAAGUUCAACAUCAACCUCCUGUUUAUUUAGAGCUUUAGAAACAUUUGAAAGGAACAUGCUUAAACUCCCACAGGUCCUCUUAGAAAUGCGGAUUCAAGCUGAAGAUGCCAAAGAAAUUGGCUUGUGGCUGCGAUGGUUCACCUAACAGAAAGGUCACCACCCUUGGGCUCUGGAAGUUGGGGAUGAUAAUUUUUCCGGUUUGGCCUGAAUCUGACUGUUUUUGGAGUUAGGUAUGCCUCGUGCCUGUUUCCACAUGCGCCUAUAAAGCUACAAUCUGUUUUCUUCUGCCACAAAAUCUAGCAUGCCAGUGUGUGGACAACUGAGAAUUUCUGCAAGGUAGAGAGGAAGAAGGACACAGUAUGAAAAGGAAAGGGUUCCUAUUUCAAAAUCCCUUUAUGAAGCCUCUCAGUGAAGGCACAAGGGUCUCACUGUGUGCAGCUGAAUUUCAACAGCCUCAUGUGCUCUGCGUCUGUUUUCUCUUUCUCCUCCUUCCUUUGGAGUUGCAUCACGGGACCGUUCCUGGUUCCCUUUCUAGCUCAUGCUUCCUGCGAAAGCCCUCAGAAAGUAUUCAUUUCAGAUCACCCUGAAUAAUUUGCUGAGGGUCAAUCCCAAGUGUGGACACAGCCUGCUAGCAUGUGAUCUUUAAUGUGAUGAAUUAUGUCAUUACUAGUUGCCAGUCCUUCUGGUCACAUCCAUCUGCUGAACUGGCUCCCUGCUCUCCUGGUUCAACAAGUCAGGGAGUAAGGCAAUUCACGCAGACAGCGGGUGAUGACUCAGGAGGAGUGGUGGCCAGGGGGUGUGGUGACCUGGGCCCAGCCCUAAUUCUGCCCUAACUAGGCAGCUCUAAAGAGGUCUUUUCCGUGUCUUCUCCAGAAAAUGGAAAAAGUUAAAUGAGAUGAUCUCUCAUUGCAAGCUUGUGAUUCUAUCCUGUUUUCUCUCCUGCUGGAAUUAUGCUCUGCGGCAGGUGAGGAAUGAGCCGUGUUACCUCUCAUAGCUUACAUUUUUUGGCACUUUCUGUUCCGUACAACUCAAACUCCCUGGCAGAGCAGAGAUCUUUUAAUGUUUACUUGCCAAAGGCAAUCAAACCAUGAAGCCAUCACUUAAGUCAGUUGACUUACUCUGUGGCAUAGGCAUGGGUCAAAAUGGAAAGUAACCUUGAAUCCCUUUGAAAAUGCUCUUCUCAAUUUAAAAUGAUGAAGGCUAUAUAUUAAAAUAGCAGGCUGGAAUUUAUCUUUCGUGUGAAGUAAAGGACAUCUUUGCUUGCUAAUUAUUCUUUGACAGGUUACUGACAAUGUGGACAGUACAUAUAAGCAGAGGAUUCUACAUCAAAC